GCCCUGUGUACUUUAGUGGCGGACGGGUGAGUGACACGUGAGAAUUUACCUUUAGGAGGGGAAUAACAGUUGGAAACGACUGCUAAUGUCGCAUAUCAUAACUAUGAAAGAAGAAAUUCGCCUAAAGAAAAGCUUGCGUCUGAUUAGCUAGUUGGUAAGGGUAAAGGCCUACCAAGGCGACGAUCAGUAGCUGGUUUGAGAGGACGACCAGUCACACUGGAACUGAGACACGGUCCAGACUCCUACGGGAGGCAGCAGUGGGGAAUUUUCUGCAAUGGGCGAAAGCCUGACAGAGCAAUACCGCGUGAGGGAAGAAAGCCCACAAGGUUGUAAACCUCUUUUGUCAAGGAAGAAGUUCUGACGUUACUUGACGAAUAAGCAUCGGCUAACUCCGUGCCAGCAGCCGCGGUAAGACGGGGGAUGCAAGUGUUAUCCGGAAUCACUGGGCGUAAAGCGUUUGUAGGUGGUUUAGUAAGUCUAUUAUUAAAGCUUGAAGCUUAACUUCAAAAGUGUAAUAGAAACUACUAGACUAGAGGAUAGUAGGGGUAAAGGGAAUUUCCAGUGGAGCGGUGAAAUGCGUAGAGAUUGGAAGGACCACCGAUGGCGAAGGCACUUUACUGGGCUAUUUCUGACACUAAGAGACGAAAGC
rnacentral:rRNA from 1 species